ACAGGUUGUGCUAAUGUUGCUGGUCUUUGGACCACCCCUGGAGCAGUGAGGGAUCACUGGAUUAAUUAACACCUAGGGUGCAUUUUUAAGUGAUGAGCCUUGGAAAUGGGACCCAUGUUCUGAAUUGCAUGGUGAGUGAUGAGCGUCAUUUUCUUUCACUCCUGGGUGGAUACCUCGGCCACUGUGAACCGCAUUCACACAUGAUGUCUCAAGCCUAAAUUUCAGGCCUGUUGUAAACGAAGGCCCAGCCCAUUUUCCAAUGAAAGCUCAUUUUCCAGAGGGAUAGGCCCUGGCAUCAGCAACAGCUUCCCUGCCCUCUUAGGGCCCCACCAGGCAGAAGGUCCCAACUUCCUGGGAAUCAAGGGCACUUGCCGUGACAGCUGCCUGGGACAGCUCCAGCCAGAGCAGUGAACUGGAAGCCUCCUCUCAGUCUCUCCUUUAUUUCUUGUCUUUUUUCAAAUGUAAAAAUAGAGAAUUUCAAAGCCCCCACAGUCCCACCACCCCAGAUUACCAUUGUUGCCAUCUUCCACGUAUUGCUUCCAACGUGUCACCGUGUGUUAUGACAGCCUGUGAAUGAAUGUUGCCUGCAAUGAAUGUUGCCUCCUGGUACUGAACACCUUGUGUACUGCCCGCCCUGUGACUUGCUUUAACUAUGGGGUGUGGCAGAAGUGAUGCUGUGCCUUUUCUGAGCCAAAGCCUUCAGCAGGCCUAGCAGCUUCUGCAUUUUUACUAUUGGAAACACGCUUGGCUCUUGGCUACUCUGCUGGAGCCAUCACCCAGUACAUCACCCAGUACAUCACCCAUUCAGUACACCCAGAUGAGUACUGAAUGGGAGGCCACCUCUGUGAAGAAGCGUGGCCUCAGUUUCUAGCUGAAUGAGGGUAUCAGGUGGCUCCCAGCAAGACCAGCCGGGAACUGCCCGGAGAGCUCAGCCAAGGUGCAGGAACCACGAGCAAAUAAAACAGUGGUGGUUUUAAGCCAGGAAGUUCUGGGAUGGUUCCCUAGGUAGCAAUAGAUUACCCAAACCUAAGCGACACAGGACACAGGUGACAGAAGCAUAGCUGGCCCAUCCACCCUUAGUACCUACCCCUUCCCUGAGCUGCCCCCUUCUCAAACCCCAAAGGCCUUCAAGCAAGGGUAGCAAAAGAUUAAUGCAAGGGACAGAGCAGAUAUUUAUUUACUUGCCAACAUAUAUCUCAUCUCAGUUCCAAAAAGUAUGGCAGUGUAUCAGGUGGUUUACCAAAAAUCCUUGUAAUGUAAGAUUGUCUUCGAAGCUGGAAGACAGGGAAGAAGAGGGAGAAGCAGGGAAGGCGUGGAAGGGAGAGCAGGGCAGGAGGAAACGUGCCGCCCACCAGGUGAAGGUCCGUGAGGAAAUGCCCGUUCUCCUGUUUGUGUAGGGUGUGUGUGGGGGGGUCUCUUAACGUGGCUUUGACAGCCCUUGUGAUCAAAACCUGGAGAGAGAAAGCAAGGAUCAGGCCGCCUUAGGAAAGGGAUGGCUGGGAAGAAGGGGUGUGCAGCUCGAGGGAGGAGCCGGCAGGUGGGAGGAGCCGGCAGGUGGGAGGAGCCGGCAGGUGGGAGGAGCCGGCAGGUGGGAGGAGCCGGCAGGUGGGAGUGGGCGGAGAGUGGACCCUGGGCAAGAUGGCGAGUUCCCGCAGCCUGAGUCCAGCUCUGGCACAGAGGAGCCACUCUGAGAGAAAGGCAGCAGCCUGCAAGGUUGCCCAAAGGGACCCUGCCCUUCCUUAGACCCCGUCUCUGAACCCUGACCGUCUCAUCCCAGUGUAAACACCACUGUCACCUGGCUGACCGAGGUCCCUGAGAGGCUGGAGACCUGACCACCACCACCAGGGGGCAGGAAGCAGCAAGUUCACCUCUCCUCUUCUCCAGAGACCUAUUUUAUUUGAGAGAGAGAGAGAGCAUAGAGAAGGAACA